rnacentral:rRNA from 1 species
AGAAUCAACGCUGGCGGCGUGCCUAACACAUGCAAGUCGAACGAGAAAGUGGAGCAAUCCAUGAGUAAAGUGGCGACCGGGUGAGUAACACGUGACUAACCUACCUUCGAGUGGGGGAUAACCUCGGGAAACCGAGGCUAAUACCGCAUAACAUCGCAAGAUCAAAGCAGCAAUGCGCUGGAAGAGGGGGUCGCGGCUGAUUAGCUAGUUGGCGGGGUAACGCCCACCAAGGCGAAGAUCGGUAUCCGGCCUGAGAGGGCGCACGGACACACUGGAACUGAAACACGGUCCAGACUCCUACGGGAGGCAGCAGUGGGGAAUUUUGCGCAAUGGGGGAAACCCUGACGCAGCAACGCCGCGUGGAGGAUGAAGCCCCUUGGGGCGUAAACUCCUUUCGACCAAGACGAUAAUGACGGUACUGGUGGAAGAAGCACCGGCUAACUCUGCGCCAGCAGCCGC